UUUUUAAUAGGAUUCAUGGCUUGUACUACACCUAAAAGUUCAUUUCGACAUGUUACGAGUCUCACAUUGGGUAAAACCAACGUUUUUAACCCUACGUAAAACGUUCUACAUACCAGAACUACUCCCAUACUAACAGUGGUACCUAGAACCACUAGGAUGUUAGCUCGUUCUCUGUGGAUGCUAAACCCAGAAACACCUAUGUGGAGGUCAAGAAGGGAGUAGAAUAAAAGUAAGAAGUUUCUUACACGCCUUCUACCAUCUGUCUUGCAUGAUGUGGCUUCCGACGCUUAAUUGAAUAGUCCUCUUUGCUGUAGACCAGCCUAAAACAUCUCUAGAACUCUUAAUGUUAUAGAUGUUAGUUUGAGGAGUUGUAAUACCAGUUAUGCACGGUGAUCACGUGUACAACUUGAUGCCAUUGAUGGUACCUCUAUGGAACUAUUAGGGCUUACUAACACACGGAGUAGACUACAUAUGCGCACCAUCGGAAGUACAAAACUUGUAUGAUGAUCCAGCAGGAUGCUUAGAGUUGACAGGUAUGGCCCAAAGAUUUUCUUCACCUCUGUAUUGUUAGUUUCUUACCUUUUUUACAUACCUGUCAGCAUUCCUCGAAGAACCUUCGUUAUUCGUC
rnacentral:rRNA from 1 species